CAUGGAGUUUGAUCCUGGCUCAGAUUGAACGCUGGCGGAAUGCUUUACACAUGCAAGUCGAACGGUAGAGGGGGCAACCCCUCGAGAGUGGCGAACGGGUGAGUAAUAUAUCGGAACGUGCCCAGUCGUGGGGGAUAACGCAGUGAAAAUUACGCUAAUACCGCAUACGAUCUAAGGAUGAAAGCGGGGGAUCGCAAGACCUCGCGCGAUUGGAGCGGCCGAUAUCAGAUUAGGUAGUUGGUGGAGUAAAGGCUCACCAAGCCAACGAUCUGUAGCUGGUCUGAGAGGACGACCAGCCACACUGGAACUGAGACACGGUCCAGACUCUACGGGAGCAGCAGUGGGGAAUAUUGGGCAAUGGACGCAAGUCUGACCCCAGCCCAUGCCGCGUGCAGGAUGAAGUCGUUAUGCGUUAGUAAACUGCUUUUUAAGACAGGUAACGAAACGUACUCUUAGCG
rnacentral:rRNA from 1 species